rnacentral:lncRNA from 1 species
GCCAGCUCCGGCGGGGAGGGGAGCGCGCAGGAAGAUUCACGCUUCCUUGAUUUCCUCUUUUGGAAAUCUGUAUUUUUAAUGUGCUCUUCUGCUUUCGGCUUCUGCCCAGAGCCGCGUGGAGCUCGGGUGGCCCCAGGGUACCUACCCAGGUGGGCAGCAAUAUACGCUGGCCUGCUGGACUUACGCUCCCACCUCGGACCAGGAGGAAGGAGAAAGCCCCCAACUCCCCAGUGCAAAACGCAGCCCUCCAUCUCUCCAGCUACUGAACCAACGCAACGAGCCGGCAGCAGCAUAAGGUCCUCAGUUUUGAAGAGGAAUACCCGCUCCAAGGAGCAGGACACGGGGAGUACUGCAGGCACGGUUUGCACAUCCAACACUGACGCACAGGACACACGAGCCCGUCCCUCCCUGGGCACCGGCACGCCUGUCCCUGCGUGCUUGCAUACAGACGAGAAGAAAUUCACGUCUCCUUCUCCUUCCAGCAACUUUGGAAAGGAAAACUCGGGUGCCCAUCUACACCAGGUACCACCCUGCUACUGCCACCCUCCUGUGCCUUUUGCUGCCCGGACCUCCAGCCACCUGAAAUCCUCCCUCUUUGACAAUCCCAUUGCAAGAGCUGGGAUUUUUAGUGCUUGGGAGAGCCCAAGGACUAAAGAGAGGAGAGGAGAGGAGAGGAGAUACCCUCUUUUAGUCAAGCCUAGUAGGGCAGAUUCAGAACUGAGCCACCUCCUCCUCCCCGCUCAUCUGCCUAUUUCCAAGCCUCUUGGCCCAGUCGGGCUAUGGUGCAAGAUCAGAGGGGAGGCAGGCAGGGACGGCCACCCAGAGCAGCGUCCUCCCGAGAACGACACACACGGGGAAGGGAUUCCUGUUUCUAGGGGCUAAACUGAGCCGUCAGUAUAAGUUCUUCCACCAUUGGAAAAGAGAGAGUAUCAGGAGAAAGCCAGGUGAAAUUCUUCCCUAGGUUUUUGCCCUUGCUUGGCCCUGCUCCACUCACUGGCGCAAAG